GNCGGGCACAUCACACGAUCCAUUGUCUACAGCCAAGCACUGAGGUACAACCGCAUCUGCUCUAACCCCUCAGACAGAGACCAACACCUACAAAAUCUCCACCAAGCAUUCUCAAAACUACAAUACCCGCAUGAGGAAAUAAGGAAACAGAUCAACAGAGCCAGACGUGUACCCAGAAGCCUCCUACUGCAAGACAAACCCAAGAGAGAAACCAACAGGACUCCACUGGCCAUCACAUACAGCCCCCAGCUAAAACCCCUCCAACGCAUCAUCAAGGAUCUACAACCCAUCCUGGACAAUGAUCCCACACUUUCACAGGCCUUGGGUGGCAGGCCAAUCCUUGCCCACAGACAACCUGCCAACCUGAAACAUAUUCUCACCAGUAACUGCACACCACACCAUAAUAACUCUAGCUCAGGAACCAAUCCAUGCAACAAACUCUACAGCCAAGCACUGCCACAUAUCUACACCAGCGACACCAUCACAGGACCUAACCAGACCAGCCACACCAUCACUGGUUCAUUCACCUGCACAUCCACCAAUGUAAUAUACGCCAUCAUAUGCCAGCAAUGCCCCUCUGCUAUGUACAUCGGCCAAACUGGACAGUCUCUACGGAAAAGGAUAAAUGGACACAAAUCAGACAUUAGGAAUGGCAAUAUACAAAAACCUGUAGGAGAGCACUUCAACCUCCCUGGCCACACUAUAGCAGACCUUAAGGUGGCCAUCCUGCAGCAAAAAAACUUCAGGACCAGACUUCAAAGAGAAACUGCUGAGCUUCAGUUCAUCUGCAAAUUUGACACCAUCAGCUCAGGAUUGAACAAAGACUGUGAAUGGCUUGCCAAUUACAGAACCAGUUUCUCCUCUCUUGGUUUUCACACCUCAACUGCUAGAACAGGGCCUCAUCCUCCCUGAUUGAACUGACCUCGUUAUCUCUAGCUUGCUUGCUAGCAUAUAUAUACCUGCCCCUGGAAAUUUCCAUUACAUGCAUCUGAGGAAGUGGGUAUUCACCCACGAAAGCUCAUGCUCCAAAACGUCUGUUAGUCUAUAAGGUGCCA
ensembl:lncRNA